rnacentral:lncRNA from 1 species
AGCCGCACAAGGCUCUCCUCUUUCCAAGCGUGCCCCUGCCCUCAGCUGUCUUCACAAACAAUAGCACAACCUAUGCACAGGAAAAAGGAAACCUGUGCCUUCUCGAUAGUGUUCUGACUGAGUCAUUGACUCAAGCAGUAAGUGCAAAAGUCCCCCAAGUUUAAUGGGAGUAAAGUUUGGAGGUGGAAGCCGACUCUAUGCACACAGCGACCUGCCCUCCUCCCCAGCCUUGGUCUAUUCCAGAUACACCCCUGACUUUGUCAGCCACUGUUGUCAAGGACUACACUUCCCUCAGAAUUCACAUCCUAGAGACCCAACAUCUCCCCUUGUUUUUCUCUCGAGCUGCAGGGAGCGCUAAGAUAGAUCCGGGAGAUGGUGGUGAUUCUGAAAAGAUUCCCGUUUUUGUGGUAGAAACAAAAUAUCAGAAAAGUCUGUCACUUCAGUCUGGUUUUGUCAAGACUCAAGAACUACUCCCUUAUGACCAAGUAGCGAUUGUAUCAGACCUGUAGAGGAAUCCAGACACACUACCUUCCUUUUCAGAUCUCCAGGGCCUGAGAUCUGGGAGCUGUUUGUACCAGCCACUGCUCUCACCGGGAAGUUUGGGUAGAGAUCU